UACGAAGGGGGCUAGCGUUGCUCGGAAUCACUGGGCGUAAAGGGUGCGUAGGCGGGUCUUUAAGUCAGGGGUGAAAGCCUGGAGCUCAACUCCAGAACUGCCUUUGAUACUGAGGAUCUUGAGUUCGGGAGAGGUGAGUGGAACUGCGAGUGUAGAGGUGAAAUUCGUAGAUAUUCGCAAGAACACCAGUGGCGAAGGCGGCUCACUGGCCCGAUACUGACGCUGAGGCACGAAAGCGUGGGGAGCAAACAGG
rnacentral:rRNA from 1 species